rnacentral:rRNA from 1 species
UACAGAGGUCCCAAGCGUUGUUCGGAUUCACUGGGCGUAAAGCGUGCGCAGGCGGUUUUGUAAGCCAGAUGUGAAAUCCCCGGGCUUAACCUGGGAAUGGCAUUUGGGACUGCAAGGCUCGAGUGCGGCAGAGGAGACUGGAAUUCCUGGUGUAGCAGUGAAAUGCGUAGAUAUCAGGAGGAACACCGAUGGCGAAGGCAGGUCUCUGGGCUGACACUGACGCUCAUGCACGAAAGCGUGGGGAGCAAACAGG